AGCCAACUCCCGGGGUUGUGUUCUGUUUCUUUUUUUGCUUCUGCGUGUGUGGUUUAUCCUUGAAUAGGACACACGAGAAGGACGGUAGUUCGGUAAGCGCGCCGUCUCUCCGGCAGCUCUCUCUAUCUUCUCCUUUGCUCCAGUUCCGGACGAGCAGAUCUCCUCUUCUCUUUGCAGGCACUCAAACACACACACACACACACACACACACACACUCGGAUGUGUGUCUCCAUAAAGAGAGGGUAACAUCGGGAUUAUACGCAUACUUGCCGCGGAUAGCAUGGCGGAGGAGGUGAACUAUGACGAGCUGGCGGACUUGCUGGCGUCGGAUGCACCCGUUGUGAGUGAGGCCGCCGAGGCCGUGGUGGGAGAGCAGGAGAGCGACAAGCCGAGGAAGCACAAGAAGGACAAGAAGCACAAGAAGCACAAGAGAGACAAGAAGCGGCCACGUGGGGAGGAGGGCAAUGCCAGGUCCUCCGAUGACGAGCGCGUCAAGUCCAAGUACGUUCUAGACGCUGCGGAGAGCGGUGACUCCGAUAGCGAAGACGAGCUUUCUGACACAGACUUCGUCGAUGACGACGAGGAGGUCGAGGACAUCGACUACGGUGAUCGUCCUCAGCGCUACCUGUUCCACGAAGGCGAUGAAAAGAAGACCGUUGAAGAAAUGGCUCGUUACUACGAAGAGGCUGACAGAUACUAUCGCAUGCACGGUGACCACGAAGACGAACUACUGACACGCAGUGACUUGUCCUCGCGUCGCCUCGCCUCGCAGUUUCUGCCACACGAGGACGACCCGAAGGUGUUUGCUGUCAAGUGUCGCCCUCGCAUGUCACGCGUUCUAGUGACGCGCAUUGUGAACAAGUGCUACGCCUACCGUGUUGGGCGUAACUAUGAACGCAAGAAGGUGGAUCUCGGCAUUAUCUCCGUCUUCGCUCUGGAUCACGUGAAGGAGUACAUCUACGUCGAGGCAAGUCGCAAGCGCUUCGUGGAGAACGUGCUCAACGGACUCGAUGGCGUCUUUCGCUUCAACAUCGCCGUGGUGGACCCGAAGGAGCUUCUGCAGACAAUGGAGACGCGUCCGUCCACGCAGAAGGUUCGUGUUGGCGACUAUGUGCGCCUGCGCCAGCGCUUUUAUCGUGGCGACCUUGCUCAGGUAACGGCGCUGCACCCGGACGGUGUCCACAUUACGUGCAAAGUGGUUCCUCGCGAGGACUUUGUACAAAAGCCCUUCAACAAGGCGACGAAACGACUUGAGCCUCGCUUCUUCACGCCGCGGCAGGCUGUGGGGGCUCGAGAAAUGGAAAACUCAUACGUGUGGGGCGAUCUGCACUUUGAUCGGGAGGGCUAUCUCCUCAAGACUGUUUCGACGCGCAUGGUUGUAUCGGGAGCGCAGAUGGAGCAGCCCAGUACCGAGGAGCUCGCUCGGUUCUACAACGAUCAGCGCGAAAAGGUGGAGCGGGCCCUCAAGGCGGCAGAGGCGGCUGCGCAGGUGCCAAACAUCAGCAUUGGUGACUCCGUUCGUGUGACGACAGGACAGCUGCGCAACACUAUCGGAGUGGUGGAAAACGUGUUCACCAACACGAACACCGCCGUGCUCACCUGCACAAUGCCUGGCCGCGUGCAGCCCAUCAAGGUGCAGGUAGAGCUUAGCGCGUGCACGAAGCACUUCUCCGAAGGUGCGCACGUCGUAGUGGAGCGUGGUGAACACGCUGGUGAGUCCGGCACCGUAGUCAAGUCCUGGGGCAGCAUCGUGCUGUUGUUCCCGGACCGCGCCGCCGUUGGGGCGGAGCUUAAGGUCGAGGCGAACGACUGCCACCAGAGCAAGCUGGGAAGUGUCUCGGUGCACUCGAAGGGCGUGUGGCAGGUGUUUGAUCUCGUCUCCAUCACCGAGCCCAAUUGUGUUGGCUGCAUCGUGCGCCUGAACCGCAACGAUGUGGAUGUGCUGACGGAGAACAACGACGUGCGCACGUUGUCGUACGCGCAGGUGAACGCCGUAGGGCGUGAUACACGCCAGACGACAGACUGCCUCGAAAACACGCUUUCUCGAGGCGCGGAGGUGCACAUCCAGAAGCACCCCUGGACGCCCAUCGGCCUGGAGGGGCAGACAGGCCGCAUCGAGCACAUUUUCCACCGGACCAUCUUUGUGCGCUGUCACGCAUCGCCGCUCCACGCGAACAUAGUGGCGCUGAAGGCAGAGUGCGUGCUCCUUAUCGGCGGCCGCAAGACGACUCGACGCGCUGCGCCGACGCAGGAGGCGGCGACGGGAACGAGUGCAGGUCAGUACGCUGCGGCUGCCGUUCGGCUCUCCGCUGGGCAGAGCGGAGACUCGGAGCUGUGGGAUGAGAGUUCGAUGAUGGACAUCAAUGCAUCCGCGGUGGUUUAGGCGGCCCUUGCGCGAGGAAGCAGGCGCGGGGAUAGACGUUUCUUUAUCAUUGUGUGCUCAUCGCAUGGUAGCUUGUUUCUUGUGGUGGUGCCUUCUACAGCACCAGGGUCUCCGCAGCUCUGCGCAUGCCCUCACGAGUCGUCUUGUCAUGUGUGAAAGGGAACGCACUGAGAUGGCGUAAGUGCUACCGCCCCCUGUGCGUGUGUCUGCGCGCGCAGUGAAGCACACACAUGCGCACAGUUGUGUGUAGGUGGAGGUGUGUGUGGAAAGGCUUGUACACACCAGGGCGCGCAAGCACUUGGUUUCCAAGUUUGUUUUUGGGCGAAGAAGUAUGCGCAGAGUCCUCGGGAAGCAUUGACUCCCUCACCCCCUUUCCUUCUUUUUGGCUGAUACUCGUGUGCGUGUGCUUCAUUGUAGUUGUGGCUAUGCAACUCUGUUGGUGUACUUCUGUGGAACCGGGGAAGAGGCAUGGGAAGCAUCGAGCUCGUUCCUUUUCUUUUUUUCCCUUUCGACGACGUGGGCCACUUGUGUGUGUGUGUGUAUGUGCCUGAGGCUGUAGCGCAUGCGUUUGUGUAUGCUUUGCUCAGGCUUCUCCCUCUUUUUCCUGUUCUUGGGGCACAUCUUACUCCCCCCCGCGUGGGCUGUGAUUGUGUGUGUGUGUGUGCUAAGC
rnacentral:misc_RNA from 1 species